rnacentral:rRNA from 1 species
CCAAUAGCGUAUAUUAAAGUUGUUGCAGUUAAAAAGCUCGUAGUUGAAUUUCGGGGUUAGUAGGUUGGUCAUGCCUCUGGUAUGUACUGGUCUCACUGAUUCCUCCUUCCUGAUGAGCCGUAAUGCCAUUAAUUUGGUGUUGCGGGGAAUUUGGACUGUUACUUUGAAAAAAUUAGAGUGUUUAAAGCAAGCUAACGCUUGAAUACAUUAGCAUGGAAUAAUGAAAUAGGACGUUCGAUCCUAUUUUGUUGGUUUCUAGGAUUGACGUAAUGAUUAAUAGGGAUAGUUGGGGGCAUUAGUAUUCAAUUGUCAGAGGUGAAAUUCUUGGAUUUAUUGAAGACUAACUACUGCGGAAGCAUUUGCCAAGGAUGUUUUCAUUAAUCAAGAACGAAAGUUAGGGGAUCGAAGACGAUCAGAUACCGUCGUAGUCUUAACCAUAAACUAUGCCGACUAGGGAUCGGAUGAUGUUAAUUUUUUAAUGACUCAUUCGGCGCCUUACG